CCCAAACAAACCGGGAACCGCGCCGAUGUGAACGAGGAGCAGUCUUUGGAGAUAAGCGAGGAGAGUCGAUGUUGCCGCGUCAUUUCUCUGGUAAAAUCCGGAUUUUCAACACAAACGCCGGAUGUUACGGGCUGGGGUGUUGCGACACGCCGUGCAACAUCAACUACGGGAACCAGUAGCCAAUCCCCCGGUCGCGUGAACUGUCACAGUCCGAAUCGAGCGGAUGCGACAAAAGAAGAAAAUGAAGCAAAAUCAAAACGUAAACAUUGAAAGUGAAUGUGCAUUUUGUAAUGAGGAGAAAAGAUCAAGUUUUGUGAGGGAUUUUGUGCGAUAUUUGUAGACGGGCGGUUCGAAUGUAGGAAAACUGGUGGCGAUUUCGCAACAAAUUCUCACCUGUAAAACCUGCGGAAACUUACCUGCUCGAAGACUCCAAGUACGAAGAUUCAAACGCCUACACAUAGGGUAACUGUUCCAUGAUUGAACCAAAGUAAAGGAACUCAGUGCCAGAAGAGUAGUGAAGGAGGAAACCAAUUCUUGUGAGUGGUUAAAGGAAAGGUGUGUAAAUUUAAACUAAAAUAAACAAAUAUUUACAGUUUGAGUUGCUGAACAACAAAACGUCGGCUACUACAAAACGCU